GGGGGGAGUUGGAAGCGGGUGGGGAGAGGAGUAGAGGGAGAAAUAACUCCGGCUAAAGUUUAUACAAUUAGAACCUAUCUGCUAAAAGUAGACUUUGUGCUUUUGGCUUCUCCUUUCCCUUCGCUGCGAGGAUGUGUGUUGUAAGAGGUAAGCGUUGCCGGCUCAGAAGUGCGGAGCGGGGUCAGGAGAAAAGAGUGAGGAGGAGAGGGGAGGGAGGAAAGAGAAGCGAAAGGACAGCGAGGAUGGUUUGAGGAGCAGGACUGCACAGUGGGAAGGAUGGAGUCAUCCAGUGGCUCAGCGUUGCUUCAGCGAGGGUUUGAUGAGGUCGUCACGGGGAAGUGACUAAGAAGUGUAUGAAAUGUUGAUGUCGAAGGUAAGCUGAUCAAAUCCACGUUGAUGCAGCAGAGUAGUAAGUAUACAUGUGUGACACUUGCAGCACGUUUGUGACGACACAGUCCUAAAUGAAUUCUUAGAAAUCAUUGGAACUGCUGUGCUGGCAAACAGUGGCCAAACUCUCCAGAAGUAAUGCUGCUUUUUGUUUUUGUUAGUAGUGUAUCCACUGUCCAUUUGUCCUUUAGCAAAGAUUUGUACGUUUUUAGUAUGAAGCUACUAAAAUCCGUGUUCUCAAUGAAUUUUUGGGAAAAAACAAAAGCAAAUGGGAAAGAAAAAGUAUACUCUAUCUUCAAAAAGAUCAGAGGGACAGGGAUUUGCCACAGAGCUGUGAAGCACUCGCUAGAUAUUUUUUAGCAUUCAGUAAAAAAAUUCAAUAUUUUUGCAUCUCAUGACUUUGUUCUACACAAAUGAGGGUACUGUGUACAGUGCCAACUCAAGAUGUUGUAGCAAGAUCCUUGUUUUUUCUGCUUUCUGUAUGUUUGACAUAAAUCUGUUACCCAGAAGCAAUUUGCCCACUGGCCUGGUCUGUCUUUCCUCCCACUGUCCUGGAGCCAAGAAAGAGACUGGUGAAUUGUCCCCCUUUUUGCCAUCUGAAGUGCUGAAGCUGCACCUCUUAGGAUUUUUGCAAUGAGCUUUGCACUGUGACUGCCUCUCUGCUGUCAGGUGAGGCUGGAAGGUGAUCACAAGGAGGGAAGGGGCCACCUGAAACUUGCAAAGGUUUAGAGGCAUCUGAAAUUCCUGGGUGCAGUCUAUAUCAGAGAUCGGUUGCCUGCCUCUUUUGUGGGAGGAUAUAAGAGAGAACGGAGACCUUUGCGUAAAAAACUUCAGUCAGCUGAAGUCAGCGAUGGAAGUCCUGUAGAAAAGAGCCUCAGACCAAAUCAAAACCUUGAUUUCCUAAGAGUAACACUGCCUGCAAAUGGAGGCAGGCUGAGGUCCACAACUGGCCAGCACUUUGGACGCGUCCUGCUUACUUUAGUCACACAAAAUGACGUAUUGAUGUAAGCUUCCAGAAUCUAAACAGGCAGCCCUUUCAUAGGCAAAAGCCCUAAUGAAGUCACUGGCAAGCAGCCUUGCUGGCCUAGGGCCUGCAGGCUGUUUCCCCAGUCAAUACACUGGACCUAAUCUUAUAACUCUUGAGCAUCGAACUCCAUGUGUAUUUUCCGCAAGUAUUUGUUCUCUUUCUGCAAAAGUGCAAGAUUUGUGUGCUGGGGAGAGCAGUGUCAGUGAGCAGCUGCUUUUCCUUCAGUGUGAGUUGUUUGGGAUAUAGACUACAUUUACUACUGGUUGGGCAAAACCAAACCACAGAGCUGAGAUGUGGAAAGGCAAGAACCUGGACUGACAAAUAAAAAUCUCCUUUAGUAAGUGCACACUUGAACACAAAACAAAACAGAGUUAAAAACAGAAGUUACAGAGUUUCAUAUUGAGAAAAUAUACAUUUUUACCUGGUAAGUUUCAGGCUGCUUCUAAUUUAGUGGAACACAUUAAUUGAUCUUGCAAUUCUACUGCAGUCAAUGGAGUUGUCAUAGUGAAGAGUUAGUGCAAGAACAAUCCAUCCAGGUUCUCUAUAAUCAGUUGAAUUUGUUUCUCUCAUUUCUGAGAGUUUUAGAAAUAUAAAUAGGAAUGGCAGCAUCAUUUAUAUCUAUGGUGCCAAAGCUGUCAUCAAACAUGGCAUUUACAUGCAAAAAUCCAGGGGAUGCUCUAUUUUAGUUGAGGAACCUGCAGGCAUUCUUUUCCCAAAUUUCUAAAUAAAGUUUUGCCAUAUUUGUAUAUGAUGCCCGUGCAAAAAAGAAAAGAAGCUUUUAUAGUUGAAAAUUUUCUGUCUACUUCUCCACACUCCCCAGAAAAUGAUAGAAUGAAUACAAUCCUGCUGAGUUAAAAUAUCCUUUUUAUCUUUAUUUCUUUUCUCUUUCUUUCCUCUUUCUUUCUUUUCUUUUCUUUCCUUCCUUCCUUCCUUCCUUCCUUCCUUCCUUCCUUCCUUCCUUCCUUCCCUCCGUCCCUCCUUCUAAAAAAAAAAAGGCUUUUGCCUCUGACUGUCUCAACCUGUGAUUCCUUCAAAUCCAGACUAAGGUCAAAGGUGAGCUCACAGCUCAGCCUGACACAGAACUGGAAAUGCAGCACCUUGGAUGCAUAUGCACUUUGACUUUGAACGGUAACACUGUGAAAAAUGCCACAAGUAGGUCCUGAAGGUACCGUGAAACAAUGCUCUAAAAGAGGAAUGAGACAUCUUUUCACAGGCUGGAUAUCCUGUACAAAUUUCAACAGAGGCUGUGGUUUUGUGUGAGAGAAUUUUGGAGUCUCAAGUGCAGGCAGUAAAAUCGUGGCCCUUUGGGGCCAUGUGGUCUCUUUGGGAACUGACCUUCAAGACUCUGCAUUUGUGUCAUUGUCACACCUGAUAUGCUAUAAGUAAAUCACAGAAUCACAGAAUGACACAGAAUGGCCAGGGUUGGAAGGGACCUCAAGGAUCAUGAAUCUCCAACUCCCCUGCCACAUGCAGGGCCACCAACCUCUCCGCUUAAUACUAGACCAGUGUAUAAGUAAAAGUAUGCAAGUAGUAAAUGUAUGAUGUUAGAUGCCAAUCGAUUGAUUUCAGAUCCUUAUCACAGCAAACUUACAGUUCUUAUUCAAGGUGUUCAUGGAGUUAUUUUUCUGCCUCUUAUUUUAAGAUGAAACCAACUCAUUGUAACAAGAAGUCACUUAUAGAGUGAAAAUAUAAGCUCAAAAGUUAAACAUAUGAGACUCUUGCCAUUAAAGACACAAGUGUGAUAAGAUGCCCUGUUCUUAUGGAGCUCUGCUGUGGAGAUAGGGGAGGAUUUUCCUUGUGCUUACCACAGUUUUGUGUGGUUUAAUUAACAUGUAUUAUAUUAAGGAUUUUCUUUUUCAUAGUAAAGCCAAGUACUCCACUUGAAACAGGGGCACUCAUGCACUCAAAUCUGUGUCAGAGUCCUGCUGGCAGUCAGAGCUUCUGCACUAACAUCAGAUGGUGAGUCAGAAGUUCAGGAAAGCAAGACAAACAAUCUGAAGAGCUGAAAACAUCAAGCACUUACUCAGGACUCAUAUGUGCAAAUCUAUAUAUAUUCAAUCAGGGCAUGCAUGAGGUGAAAAAUGAUGACAUUUGUCAUCAAAUGUCAUCAUUUUCUUUUUCAUUUAUUUUUAUUUUUUCCCUUAUUUAUUUAUUUUUUUCCAUUUCAUCGGCACUGCUGAGAGAAGUCUUCCUUGCAGCGGGAAAAAAUGAACAAGCCAUGUAAGAUGCAAAUAGGGAAGGAGGUGGGGGCAGUGUGAUAAGAAGAACCAUUUUCUCAACCAAGCUGAGCACAGUACUGUUUGUGUUCAGUGUAGUACAUUUUGUGGAAAUAGUUGGAAAGAGUUGGUAUAGACAUGUCGUUCUCCCAUGCCUCUUUUCUAAAAGUUCUGACGAGGUCAGGAAUAUCUAUACAUGGGGGAAUUCCUGCUUGCCAUGUAACUGAGCUGGGGCAGUGAGCACAUGGUGACCAUGAUCUUCCAAGGUCCAGAAUCAGCAGAGUGGCUGCAUCAGAGGAGUAGCGUGUUUCCUGCCUCAUGGGCUGAACCAUGUAUUGAAGCUGUGUGUGUGCACAAGGCAGGUGUGCCCAUGUGAGGGUGAAGGUUGCUUGAGGGGUGUGCAGGAAAGAAGUUGUUGCAUUGCAGGGAGUUUACUUGUGUUCGGCUUGAGUUUAAAUAGACUUCAGACCAAUCUCCCCUGAAAAACAUGAAAGAAAUCUAACAUGGAAUAUAUCUGCUGAUGAAACUUACAUAGCUGGUACUUUUUGUGGCUUCUUUCAGCACAGGUGUGCUCCACCACUUCAGUAUUUAGUCAAAAUCGUAUUCUUUUUCUGAGAGUUAGCUCCCUUUAAAGAAAUGUCCCAAACAUUCUGCAGUGCGAACUGUAUUCUGGUUCUUCUCUAUCCUCUUCCUGCCGUGCAUAUGUUCCUCUGCUCUCCAGCGUUCUCUCCUUUGCAUAUGUUUCCUAGGAUCUCCUGCCCCUGUCUGAACCUGGCUGAUGUCUCUGACUCCCUAGUAGCUGAGCUGUAAUGGAAAUAACAGCUUUGCUUGGAAGAAUCCAAAACCACUGAAGCCUUGAGUCUUCCUGGAUGAGGAAGGAAGAGCAUGUAACCUCGUGUUACUUGUGAGCUAUUUGCAGCUGUAGGUCAAAGAGUUUGCAUAGCACCUGCUUAGCAUGCUCUUCACAUGCUGGGGGAAGCAGUUCUGUGGUGCAAAGUCAGAGGCUCUUAACAAUGAAGCAAGGGACAGAUGUGAUACUUCCAUGCGUCUGUAAGAAUGUCACACAUGAAACCACUGUAGUUUUUGCUAACUCAGUGGCAGAGCUGCAGAGAUUAGUUAUCAGGGUUUGACAAGGCAGCAAACAGAUUGCUACAGCUCUGAGAAACAAGGUGAUAACACAGUGCCACAAUUUCUGUUUAAAUAUGCUUCUGAAUUGCUCUUGCAUUGCAUAGAAUCAAAAAAUGGCUUGGAUUGGAAGGGGACCUUGAAGCCCAUCCAGUUCCCACCCCCUGCCAUGAGCACCCCCUAGAUCAGGCU
ensembl:lncRNA